AGUAAACGUUGGCGGCGUGUGUAACACAUGCAAGUCGAACGAUUCUUAGGUGGCUUGCCAUCUAAGAAGAGUGGCGAAUGGGUGAGUAACACGUGAGUAAUCUGCCCUCGAGUGAGGAAUAACUUCGCGAAAGCGGAGCUAAUACCGCAUAAUAUUCUGGAGAAUAAUCUUUCAGAAUUAAAGCCUUCGGGCGCUUGAGGAUGAGCUUGCGUCCUAUUAGCUUGUUGGUAGGGUAAUGGCCUACCAAGGCAAUGAUGGGUAGCCGGCCUGAGAGGGUGUACGGCCACACUGGGACUGCGACACGGCCCAGACUCCUACGGGAGGCAGCAGUGGAGAAUUUUGCGCAAUGGGCGAAAGCCUGACGCAGCGACGCCGCGUGGAGGAUGAAGGCCUUCGGGUUGUAAACUCCUGUCAGAGGAGAAGAAAGCCCUUCGGGGUUUGACGGUAUCCUCAGAGGAAGCCCCGGCUAACUACGUGCCAGCAGCCGCGGUAAAACGUAGGGGGCGAACGUUGCUCGGAAUUACUGGGCGUAAAGGGUGCGUAGGUGGCUGAGAAAGUCGAAAAUGAAAUCCCGAGGCUUAACCUCGGAACUGUUUUCGAAACUACUUAGCUUGAGGAUAGUUGAGGAAAACGGAAUUCCCGGUGGAGCGGUGAAAUGCGUAGAUAUCGGGAGGAACACCUGAGGCGAAGGCGGUUUUCUGGACUAUUCCUGACACUGAGGUACGAAAGCUAGGGUAGCAAACGGGAUUAGAUACCCCGGUAGUCCUAGCUGUAAACGCUGGGCACUAGACGUUUCUAUUUUAUAUGGGAGUGUCGUAGUUAACGCGAUAAGUGCCCCGCCUGGGGACUACAGUCGCAAGGCUGAAACUCAAAGGAAUUGACGG
rnacentral:rRNA from 1 species